rnacentral:rRNA from 1 species
AGUAGUUUGAUCAUGGCUCAGGACGAACGCUGGCGGCGUGCCUAACACAUGCAAGUCGAGCGGAGACAUAGGGCGGAAAGCUUCGGCUGGAAGACUUAUGUUUUAGCGGCGGACGGGUGAGUAACGCGUGAGCAAUCUGUCCUUCACAGGGGGAUAAGAUACCGAAAGGUGUUCUAAUACCGCAUGAGACCACAACGCCACAUGGCGAAGGGGUCAAAGGAGCAAUCCGGUCUGAGGUGAGCUCGCGUCCCAUUAGGUAGUUGGUGAGGUAACGGCCCACCAAGCCGACGAUGGGUAGCCGACCUGAGAGGGUGAUCGGCCACACUGGAACUGAGACACGGUCCAGACUCC